rnacentral:rRNA from 1 species
AAUGGGUCAGCGACUUAUAUUCUGUAGCAAGGUUAACCGUAUAGGGGAGCCGAAGGGAAACCGAGUCUUAACUGGGCGUUAAGUUGCAGGGUAUAGACCCGAAACCCGGUGAUCUAGCCAUGGGCAGGUUGAAGGUUGGGUAACACUAACUGGAGGACCGAACCGACUAAUGUUGAAAAAUUAGCGGAUGACCUGUGGCUGGGGGUGAAAGGCCAAUCAAACCGGGAGAUAGCUGGUUCUCCCCGAAAGCUAUUUAGGUAGCGCCUCGUGAACUCAUCUUCGGGGGUAGAGCACUGUUUCGGCUAGGGGGCCAUCCCGGCUUACCAACCCGAUGCAAACUACGAAUACCGAAGAAUGUUAUCACGGGAGACACACGGCGGGUGCUAACGUCCGUCGUGAAGAGGGAAACAACCCAGACCGCCAGCUAAGGUCCCAAAGUCAUGGUUAAGUGGGAAACGAUGUGGGAAGGCACAGACAGCCAGGAUGUUGGCUUAGAAGCAGCCAUCAUUUAAAGAAAGCGUAAUAGCUCACUGGUCGAGUCGGCCUGCGCGGAAGAUGUAACGGGGCUAAACCAUGCACCGAAGCUGCGGCAGCGACACUAUGUGUUGUUGGGUAGGGGAGCGUUCUGUAAGCCGUUGAAGGUGUGCUGUGAGGCAUGCUGGAGGUAUCAGAAGUGCGAAUGCUGACAUAAGUAACGAUAAAGCGGGUGAAAAGCCCGCUCGCCGGAAGACCAAGGGUUCCUGUCCAACGUUAAUCGGGGCAGGGUGAGUCGACCCCUAAGGCGAGGCCGAAAGGCGUAGUCGAUGGGAAACAGGUUAAUAUUCCUGUACUUGGUGUUACUGCGAAGGGGGGACGGAGAAGGCUAUGUCAGCCGGGCGACGGUUGUCCCGGUUUAAGCAUGUAGGCGGAGGUUCCAGGUAAAUCCGGUACCUUAUUAACGCUGAGGUGUGAUGACGAGGCACUACGGUGCUGAAGUGAUAAAUGCCCUGCUUCCAGGAAAAGCCUCUAAGCAUCAGGUAACACGAAAUCGUACCCCAAACCGACACAGGUGGUCAGGUAGAGAAUACCAAGGCGCUUGAGAGAACUCGGGUGAAGGAACUAGGCAAAAUGGUGCCGUAACUUCGGGAGAAGGCACGCUGAUAUGUAGGUGAAGCCCCUGCGG